UACGAAGGGUGCAAACGUUGCUCGGAAUUAUUGGGCGUAAAGCGCACGUAGGCGGCUUUGCAAGUCGGAUGUGAAAUCCCUCGGCUUAACCAAGGAAGUGCAUCCGAAACUGCAGAGCUUGAGUACUUAAGAGGAUCGCGGAAUUCCCGGUGUAGAGGUGAAAUUCGUAGAUAUUGGGAGGAACACCAGUGGCGAAGGCGGCUCACUGGACCGGUACUGACGCUGAGGCGCGAAAGCGUGGGGAGCAAACAGG
rnacentral:rRNA from 1 species